rnacentral:lncRNA from 14 species
AAACCAUAUCAAAAGGCAUUGUGUAUGUAAACCAUUGUUGCCUUUGGUCUUUUAAAGGAAAUACGCUGAAGCAAACAUCACCACCAACUUCUAUGUGAUCAGUGAGCCUUGGCUUUUCUCCCUGGCGUGGUGCUCUGGAGCACACUCUGUGACCACCAAUGCUGUCCAUACACUGAAGAACCUCAACCAGCCACUCUUCCUCAUGACUCCGAAGCAGUACAACAUCAUGUGGAUCCUGACAGAUCUGACCUCAAUGCUCCUCAUCUCACUCAUCUUUGCUCUGCACUGGUGGCGAGAGCGGAGUUUCUCCUGCUGUGCCAAAGAUGAUGACCCGAUGCUGGAUAACGGCACCUACAAUAAGUUCAAGACAGAGCUCAACAGCAUGCCUAACAUCAGUAUCUGACAGCAAGCACAGAGGGAUGUGGACCUGUCACCUUAAUGAGGACUGGAGAGCAGACAAUGCCCUUCCUGCAAUGCAAACACUGACCUGCCAAGGGGGACCCGCAUCUCUGGUGACAAGGAGCCAUUUGCCUUUGUGACUCUGCUGAACAUGAGCAUCAAACUUCCUUUCCUAUAGCUGU